rnacentral:rRNA from 1 species
UACGAAGGGUGCAAGCGUUACGCGGAAUUACUGGGCGAAAAGGGUGCGUAGGUGGUUUGUUAAGUCUGGGGGGAAAGCCCCGGGCUCAACCUGGGAAUGGCAAUGGAUACUGGCAGGCUAGAGUGCGGUAGAGGGUAGUGGAAUUCCCGGUGUAGCGGUGAAAUGCGUAGAGAUCGGGAGGAACACCAGUGGCGAAGGCGGCUACCUGGACCAGCACUGACACUGAGGCACGAAAGCGUGGGGAGCAAACAGG